rfam:Phaseolus vulgaris cultivar G19833 chromosome 3, whole genome shotgun sequence.
AACCCAUGGUUUAGACAUUUUCUCGGCAUCCUCUUGAAUCUCUCCCAUGUCUCACAGAAAGACUCUUCUACUCCUUGUCUGAACAUAGAUAUUUCAGACUUAACAUU